rnacentral:rRNA from 1 species
CAAUAGCGUAUAUUUAAGUUGCUGCAGUUAAAAAGCUCGUAGUUGGAUUUCGGGUGGGAAUGGCCGGUCCGCCGUUUCGGUGUGCACUUGCUACGCCCACCUUGCUGCCGGGGACGUGCUCUUGAGUUCACGCUCGGGACACGGAGUCGGCGAGGUUACUUUGAGUAAAUUAGAGUGUUCAAAGCAGGCCUACGCUCUGAAUACAUUAGCAUGGAAUAACACGAUAGGACACUGGCCUAUCUUGUUGGUCUGUAGGACCGGAGUAAUGAUUAAGAGGGACAGUCGGGGGCAUUCGUAUUUCAUUGUCAGAGGUGAAAUUCUUGGAUUUAUGAAAGACGAACUACUGCGAAAGCAUUUGCCAAGGAUGUUUUCAUUAA